GUUUAGUGCCAUUUUUUCAAGAAUCAAGUUAAAAACUGCCUUAUGAAUUGUUGAAGGAGGAGGAGGCUUCAAGGGCUGCAACCAGCUGGGAGAAUAGCCCAAGGUCCCUGUGCCGCGCAAUGAAACACUCCAUGUCUUUUAUGAGCUCAGGACUUCCCAAACUCCUUGACAGUUGAUUUCAGUGGCCUGGGAUUUGCUGCGAAGGGUUUUACUGGUGGAUGUAAGUGUCAGUCAGUGACGAGCUUCUCUUUUUUGACUGGACUACAAAACAGAGACUGCGCAGAGUUGCAAUCAGUGCGAGCUAAGGGAAUCAAGGGGCGAGUGCAAUCCCAGUAAUUUAGCAAGUUAAUUGACUCCCUGCAGAAUGCACUGCUUGGCGCUUGGAGUUUUAGUGUUGAACAAUCUCCUGCUGAAUGUCAUCACUGUUCCUUUGGAAGGCCUGGAAAAUGGAGGCCAACACUGGGUUGUACUUGUUGCAGGAUCGAGUGCUGGUACAACUACAGGC